GAUGAACGCUGGCGGCGUGCCUAAUACAUGCAAGUCGAGCGAACAGAUGAGGAGCUUGCUCCUCUGACGUUAGCGGCGGACGGGUGAGUAACACGUGGAUAACCUACCUAUAAGACUGGGAUAACUUCGGGAAACCGGAGCUAAUACCGGAUAAUAUAUUGAACCGCAUGGUUCAAUAGUGAAAGACGGUUUUGCUGUCACUUAUAGAUGGAUCCGCGCCGCAUUAGCUAGUUGGUAAGGUAACGGCUUACCAAGGCAACGAUGCGUAGCCGACCUGAGAGGGGGAUCGGCCACACGGGAACUGAGACACGGUCCAGACUCCUACGGGAGGCAGCAGUAGGGAAUCUUCCGCAAAGGGCGAAAGCCUGACGGAGCAACGCCGCGUGAGUGAUGAAGGUCUUCGGAUCGUAAAACUCUGUUAUUAGGGAAGAACAAAUGUGUAAGUAACUAUGCACGUCUUGACGGUACCUAAUCAGAAAGCCACGGCUAACUACGUG
rnacentral:rRNA from 1 species